GGACGAACGCUGGCGGCGUGCCUAAUACAUGCAAGUCGAACGCUCGAGUGCUUGCACUCAAGGAGUGGCGGACGGGUGAGUAACACGUGGGUAACCUACCCAUCAGAGGGGGAUAACACUUGGAAACAGGUGCUAAUACCGCAUAACAGUUUAGCCGCAUGGCAUAAGAGGAAAGGCGUUCGUGUCGCUGAUGGAUGGACCCGCGGUGCAUUAGCUAGUUGGUGAGGUAACGGCUCACCAAGGCAACGAUGCAUAGCCGACCUGAGAGGGUGAUCGGCCACACUGGGACUGAGACACGGCCCAGACUCCUACGGGAGGCAGCAGUAGGGAAUCUUCGGCAAUGGACGAAAGUCUGACCGAGCAACGCCGCGUGAGUGAAGAAGGUUUUCGGAUCGUAAAACUCUGUUGUUAGAGAAGAACAAGGAUGAGUAAAUUCAUCCCUUGACGGUAUCUAACCAGAAAGCCACGGCUAACUACGUGCCAGCAGCCGCGGUAAUACGUAGGUGGCAAGCGUUGUCCGGAUUUAUUGGGCGUAAAGCGAGCGCAGGCGGUUUCUUAAGUCUGAUGUGA
rnacentral:rRNA from 1 species